GAAGUCUCCGGGGCUCAGGCGGUGGGCGGGGCGCCCGGUCCCCGUGGUCACUGCUGUAUGUCUUGUUGGUUUUAGGACUCUGGACUCCACUUCUCAGGGGUGCCUGCCGUCCUGACUGUUCCGUCUUGGCCUACAGAUUCCACGGGCGACGGAGAAAUCUCGGACCUCUGGCUCCGCCUCCCUGACCUCUGCGCUGCGGGUGACCUGGUCCCAUCUGAGGAAGAAGGCGGCGCGGGUCGCUGCCGGAGCCUCUGCAGCCCCAGCUCGCAGCCCGCAGCCCGCAGCCCGCAGCCCGCAGCCCGCGUGGGACCCUGUGUGGCGGUGAGAGUGGAGCUGCAGGAGGCGCUCAGAGCGAGGACGCCUUGGUCGCGGGCAGGGCUUGUCUCCCGCCUCCUGAGGCCCGGGGGUGCUGGAACUGCGGAGGAGGGGGCUCAUCUCUAGGGAGACAGUUGGGGAACGUCUCCUUUGUGACGUAGGGACUGAGAAGGGUGCGUGAGAGUCUUUGUGACCGGGACAUAGAGUGAGUGUCCUUUGCAAAGCGUGCUUUGCUGUAGCUUUCUGGCGUCACUGACCCGUGGGUCCAGGGUCUCGGUUUCCCUGUCUCCUCUCAGUCUAGUAUGACUGCCACAGAGAAAUGAUCCAAGCGGGAAAUCAGAUACUGAGCCUUAGAUGAAGGUUUCCAGUGAGAAGAAACAGGAUGGGAAGCUUAGAGCAGGAAUUGCCCUUAAGACAGUGUGAUAGACUCUGUUAGAGAAAAAAUAUUCAGUCAAACUUCUUAAAGCAUGCAAAGGAAGACUUGAUUCAGGAUCAUCGCGAUAGGUAUUGGAAGUACAGCAGUGAGAUUUUGCAGUGGGUGAAAGAGAUUGGGUUCAACCCCAAAUUCAGCAUGAACGAUCGGGACUUUAUAAUCAAGGAGCAGGUUAGGGAUCACUGGAUGACAAAAUACUAAGAGGAAAUGUCUGCGAUAAGUAGGAUUCUGGCUAAACACACCUGUUGGGAUUCUUUUUAAAGAGAGAGACCCGGGUGAUAAGACCUCAUCACCUGGGGGAUGGUGGAGGGUGAAGAUGCGGGGGCAGAGGGUUCCUGCUAAACUGGCUUAGAAGGGGUCUUUGCUAUUAUUGGAUUUUACAGUGAAGUGUACUGAUGGGCCCAUUAGAAGGAGUAAGAGCCUGAGUAAAGUUUGAUCAGGCAUAGUUUGUGUAGGAUUCCUUCCUGGAAGGGUUAUACAUUCCGUCCCCAUCUCCCGGUUCUUGGACUUUCAUUUACAUGUUUAAGAAACCGGCCUUCUUGAAUUCUGACCCUAAGAACCUUCAGUGAAGGAUGAUUGGAGAGUCCACCCACCAUACUUCUUUCUGGUUAUGUGUAUGAAAUUAUAUAGCCUUGGAGGGGGAAACAGAAACACUAUUUUGAGGCGUUUGUGGAUUGUCCGUUUUGGACUUCUGUAGAUUGAAAGCAACAGGAAUAUGAACUCAGUUGUGAUGUGUCCUUGCAAAUGAAGGAAGCUUGAGCCACCGCGCCCGGCCAGAGAUGUUUCUAAUUAUGUAGAAAUGGCACAGCUAAAGGCUAUGCAACAAGACACAAUGUUACCUGGUUCUGUCACGCUGAUAUUUUUUAAUUCUAGGCCUACUAUUUAGCUUUCUUAUAAUGACAGAAAUGUACCCUUUUCCCAUAAUGAUAGUUUAAAGUUUAAUACUUUGAAAUGUAUUGAUGUUCUAUUUGUAAUGAUGAAAUUAAGACAGGUUCAUUGCAAAAAUUUCAUUACUGAAGGAAGUUAUGAAGAAGAAAUAACCCCAAAUGCCCCCUGCCCAGAGAAAAUCAUUUUUGGUGUAUGUGUUUCUAAUUUUCGUGUCUGAACAUUUGUGUGUAGUUUUGUCAUUGCAGAAGAGAAUUAAUAGAGACACAAAGACUCCAACUGUUAGUUUGAAAAUAGAAUCUCCUUCAAUUGUUGGUGUUAAACCAAAAUUAUGGUAUGGUAUUGCUUUCGACUGAGCUUCGGCACUAGGCUCCAACAGACUAGACUGAAUCAAAAUGAAGUCAUUCAUGCUGAAUGCCACAUUAUCAAACUGAAACUUUAAGGGAGCAGAUAAAUUUCAAACCUGUUUUUCCUGAAAACAAGAUUCCAGUCUAAAUAAUUGAUGUUCACCAAUCUUUUAUUUUUAUUUUUGUUUUAAAAAAUUUAUUUCAAAGACUGGGUCUCACUCUGUCACCCAGGCUAGAAUGCAGUGGAGUGAUUAUGGCUCACAGCAGCCUCAAACUCCUGGGCUCAAGCGUUCCUCCCUCCUCAGCCUCCCAUAUAGCUGGGACUACAGACAUGCGACACGAGCCCUCAGUUCUUUUUUCUCUAGUUCUGUUAUUUGUUCCCACCUUACACAAAACCCACUGUUCCACCACAGUGUGUAAUGAGGGCAGGGACCCUCAUUCUCUUUUAUACAAUGGAAGCUGCCCCAUUUGUGAAUCCCAAAUAAAAGCCCAUGAUAUCUAUAAGUCAA
ensembl:lncRNA